rnacentral:rRNA from 1 species
AUUGAACGCUGGCGGCAUGCCUAACACAUGCAAGUCGAACGAGUGGCGGACGGGUGAGUAGUGUCUGGGAAACUGCCCGACGGAGGGGGAUAACUACUGGAAACGGUAGAUAAUACCGCAUACCAUCGGAUGUGCCCAGAGUGGAUGAGCUAGCAGGUGGGGUAACGGCUCACCUAGGCGACGAUCCCUAGCUGGUCUGAGAGGGUGACCAGCCACACUGGAACUGAGACACGGCCCAGACUCCUACGGGAGGCAGCAGUGGGGAAUAUUGCACAAUGGGCGCAAGCCUGAUGCAGCCAUGCCGCGUGUGUGAAGAAGGCUUUCGGGUUGUAAAGUACUGUCAGCGAGGAGGCGUUACUCGCAGAAGAAGCACCGGCUAACUACGUGCCAGCAGCCGCGGUAAUAC